rnacentral:rRNA from 1 species
AGGGAAAGUUGAAAAGAACUUUGAAGAGAGAGUUCAAGAGUACGUAAAACCGUUCAGGGGUAAACCUGAGAAACCCAAAUGGUCGAAUAGAGGACGAGAUUCAUUUACUUUUUAUCGUAUAUUAACCAACUUGUACGUUAUAUGUGACAAUAAUACAAGUUCAUUUUUUCCUCUCAUAUCAUUUUUAUAUUUUAUUAUUUUUUUGUAAUAUGUAUAAUUCAAUUGGUAUGUUGUAUGGAUGAAAUGAAUAAAUUGCACAUUUGUAUGUUGCAGUAUAAUAACGAGGUAUGCACUUCUCGUUCUAUAUAGGACGUCGCGACUCAUUAAAUAUUGAUCUAUAGAAUGUUUUUGUGCAUUGACUGUUAUAUGAAAUGGUUUUCGGAUUAUUUUAUCUAUAUAAUAGAUGCCUACGUUGCUUGAUUAAUUGUUUGAUGGUAUAUGAAAUAGACAAUUUUAAUGGCCAAGUGUAAUAUUUUUAUAAUAUUACACGUUCAUUUACCAUAGACGAGUUCAAAAUGGGUUACGAUAAAAUUUCCAACCUUAACGGGUAAGGGAAUUAAAGUAGCAUUUUAUUUAUUUUUGGUUUUC